CUACGGGCGGCUCCAGUGGGGAAUAUUGCACAAUGGGUGCAAGCCUGAUGCAGCCAUGCCGCGUGUAUGAAGAAGGCCUUCGGGUUGUAAAGUACUUUCAGCGGGGAGGAAGGGAGUAAAGUUAAUACCUUUGCUCAUUGACGUUACCCGCAGAAGAAGCACCGGCUAACUCCGUGCCAGCAGCCGCGGUAAUACGGAGGGUGCAAUCGUUAAUCGGAAUUACUGGGCGUAAAGCGCACGCAGGCGGUUUGUUAAGUCAGAUGUGAAAUCCCCGGGCUCAACCUGGGAACUGCAUCUGAUACUGGCAAGCUUGGGUCUCGUAGAGGGGGGUAGAAUUCCAGGUGUAGCGGUGAAAUGCGUAGAGAUCUGGAGGAAUACCGGUGGCGAAGGCGGCCCCCUGGACGAAGACUGACGCUCAGGUGCGAAAGCGUGGGGAGCAAACAGGAUUAGAUACCCUGGUAGUC
rnacentral:rRNA from 1 species